GAGAGGUGCUGGAAAAUGGACACUGCAGGACUGAGAAAGCUUAUUUCAAGGAAAGGAAGGAGCUGGUUUUUCACCUAUUGUGACCACCUGUGAACUUUAAAAAUAAAGGAAAGGAGGAAAAGAAAAAUUGUUUCUGGGUCAUUGAGUGAAAUCCAGUUUGAAUCCUGUUGAAGCAAGCUGCCUUUUCAAGUGGGGGAAAGCUGCAGUGUAAGCCCAAAAAAGUGGGAACCACUUGACAGAAGUAGCAAUACAAAUGGCUGGUUACCAAAAAAUAAUUUUGUGCCAGUUGUGCAAGUUUUGUUGGGCCGAGUAGGAGAAUCCAGGAGUGGUUGAAGCUUAAAUCCUGGAAAAUAAUUAUGGGCAUGAUAAACAGGUGAGUAAUUGACUGCAUAUGCUGCAGCUGUUAGGAAGCAUGAAAUGGAGUACUAAGGAACAAUGACUAGAAACAAAUACCAUAUUGAAACAGAACACAGAUGUAAAACUCAAAAUGACUAUAAACCAAACACAUGAGUUGUACUUUGAUAACUGUGAAGAAACACUAAAGAAAUCUGAAUACAAAGCAUAUGAAUACACAAAAACCAAAGUGACAUUUAAAACACAAGGUCCUAAAGUUCAUGACAGGAAGAGGAAAAGGGAAGUAGGAUUAAAAAGUGACUCCUGUGUCAGUGACCAGAAAUGGUCUGUAAUCACAUUACUAUCUGAUGCCUUUAAAAUAA